GGUUAUUUGGGUGCAGCGUUUUGGAAUCCAGGCAUAGUUUUUUAUAUGCCAUUUACAUUAAUUUUUUGAAGAUCCCUAAUAUUUAGUGCGUGAACAAAUAUGUUACAUUUGUUUGAUCCAGAAACAAUCUAGCAUGGGAAAGACAGGGCAGUUAAUUUGUACAGAACAUCAUUCUUCCAAAAUCCUUGAAGGAGAUGAAAAUGAAAAUAGAAAUUUAUGUCAGUGGCAGCACACAAAACAAGACUGAUUAGACAAGUGGAAAAAAUGCGCUCUGUGAAUCGGGUUUUAUUCUCGGCUGCCUUUCUGGAAACCAGGCCUCCUGUAUCCUUCUGACGCAGCGGGGGACGCGGGCACCAGGAACACGACGGCUGUCUCAGUCCUGCUGUCAGGCUGCCUCUUCCUCUCGGUUCUUAGAUCUCGUCGGUCCUCGUACGCAGGCGAACACUGACAGUUCCUUCAACAGCUCGCAGAUAAUGAAAGAAUCCCGGACCAAGAAGUUCCUGGAAGAUCAAGUCAUAAUUGCUAACAUUCACGGAGAGUUGUUAA
rnacentral:lncRNA from 1 species